CUCUCGCUCAUAAGCUCUAGGUGCUAGACCAUGAUAUUCUAGACAUGUCACUUCUGGAUUAUGAGAAUAGAAAGACUGCUGAAAGUACCUGAAGUGAAAGGCAGAGGUGAAUGCAGACUGAGACGGGACCAGUCUGUAAGAAGAAAUAACCGGAACUCUAAUCUACAGAAACUCUGCAACUUGCCUAAAAUAACAUUUAGGGCAUUCCAGGCACUGAAGGGUGUGAGGCACCUCCUAGGUCUAUGUUUGGGUAAGAGAGUCACAUGUCUUAUCAUCUUCCUUUGGGACAUUCCAGUACUGGCCUGUGAGAAUAACUCCC